UAAGGGAUAUUGCGCAAUGGGCGAAAGCCUGACGCAGCAACGCCGCGUGGAGGACGACGGCCUUCGGGUUGUAAACUCCUUUGGGCAGGGACGAGAAUGGACGGUACCUGCCAAACAAGUCACGGCUAACUACGUGCCAGCAGCCGCGGUAAAACGUAGGUGGCAAGCGUUAUCCGGAUUUACUGGGCGUAAAGGGUGUGCAGGCGGGGGGUCAAGUGGGGUCUGAAAUCGCCCGGCUCAACCGGGCGGGGUGAUGCCAGACUGACCCUCUAGAGACGGAGAGAGGGGCGUGGAAUUCCGGGUGUAGUGGUGAAAUGCGUAGAGAUCCGGAGGAACCCCCGAGGCGAAGGCGGCGCCCUGGCUCCGUUCUGACGCUCAGACACGACAGCAUGGGGAGCGAACGGGAUUAGAAACCCCGGUAGUCCAUGCCGUAAACGAUGCCAACUAGGCGCUGGGGGAGUGAAAUUCCUCGGUGCCGCAGCCAACGCGUUAAGUUGGCCGCCUGGGGAGUACGGUCGCAAGGCUAA
rnacentral:rRNA from 1 species